rnacentral:snoRNA from 1 species
CUGUGAAAUUGAAGAACUAAGCAUACUUCAUAUGAAAGCCAAAAUGAAAAUCUUAACAUAUUUAUGGGUAUUGAAGCCUAGCUAAUUUUACUU